UACGUAGGGGGCAAGCGUUGUCCGGAAUUCUUGGGCGUAAAGCGCGCGCAGGCGGUUCUUUUAGUCUGGUGUAUAAGUGCGGGGCUCAACCCCGUGAGGCACUGGAAACUGGGGAACUUGAGUGCAGAAGAGGAGAGCGGAAUUCCACGUGUAGCGGUGAAAUGCGUAGAGAUGUGGAGGAACACCAGUGGCGAAGGCGGCUCUCUGGACUGUAACUGACGCUGAGGCGCGAAAGCGUGGGGAGCAAACAGG
rnacentral:rRNA from 1 species